GAAGUUCAAUGGAAGAUUUUCAACAGCCGCGCUCGAACCCUAGCCCACACCAUUAUUUCCUUGGUUCCACCACCGACGCCGUCGGCGGCGGCGGGCCGUUGCAAGGGGCGCGGACGGCGGAUGCCUGGGUUGUAGCGGCGAAGGAGCGACGUCUUUCCUAUUCCGGCCAGAGGACCCGUCCGACUGUGGUAAGCCCUCGACUCAGUGCUUCGUUGAUGUAUCCGACAACUCCCCUCCUCUCUCUGCGUUUUAUCAAGACCGUCGCUGGUCACAACGUGAGGAUGCGAAGGGUUGCGGAGGUUGGUUGUUCAACAACCGCGCUCGAACCCUAGUCGACACCAUUGUCUCUUUGAUUCCACCGUUGCGCCAUUGCGGCGGCUUGAUUUUGCAAGGGGCGCGUAUGCGGGUUUUAGCGGCCACUGAGCAACCUCUUUCCUCUUCCGGCGAGAGGACCCGUCCGACUACACUUUGCUGUUCGAGCUCUGCCAUGAAGCUUUUCACAAGUUCAGCAUGGGGCUUUGUAUUGAGAGUUUGAGAAGGGUGGCAGGUUGUCCUAUCAGUGAUUUUUGCUUGAAGUCAAAGCAUAUAUCAGAGCCCAAACAUUGUCAUUCUUUACUUGCCCUUGGUUGGGAACUGGUCCAGAUGGCUUACGGAUCUAUUUGGCAUUCAGGAUAAUAAUUGAGCUGAAGAUGAGACUAAAUCACUAUGACAACAGUGAAAUGCACUGCGUAAAAUCUUUCAAAGCUUUCCGUCUGCCCAAUGCUUGCUGAUAGCUCCAUGAGAAAAGAGGCAUGCCGAACGUUAUGUGCAUCAUUGAUCAAGAGGACAACUUUGUUUUGGAUGGGUUCUCUCUGCACCCAAUUUCAGCUGCUGUGCUUGAGGCCUGCAUGUUGAGGUUAGUUCAUCCUGCUUCUGUUUGUUAAUGCAUCUCUACCCACAUGUUAAUUGACUAUGAAGCACGGAUACUUCUCCAAGGGAGUCAUAUCUGUAUCCGUAUCGGACACCAAUACUACUUGGAUACUUGAGCAGAAAGUGAAGACCGUAAAUUAAGAUAGAAGUGUAGUUCCUAGUAGGUAUAUAGACUACUGACCACAUAAAGAAAAUAUAAGUGGCUUCUAGUAGGUGAAAGACCAUUGGCCACUUGAUGGGAAAGUAAAGUCUCUAACUCAACAAAAAGGAUAGGCGAAGAACAAUUGUGGUUCCUAAUAGGUAUAUAAACUACUGACCACAAUUUGGAAAGCAUAAGUCAUUCCUAGUUGCCAAAAGAUAACUGGCCUCAAUGAGCAGAAAGUAAAGACCCUAACUCGAGAAA